rnacentral:rRNA from 1 species
GCAGCCGCCACGGUAAUACGGAGGGUGCAAGCGUUAAUCGGAAUUACUGGGCGUAAAGCGCACGCAGGCGGUCUGACAAGUCAGAUGUGAAAUCCCCGGGCUUAACCUGGGAACUGCAUUUGAAACUGUCAGGCUGGAGUCUUGUAGAGGGGGGUAGAAUUCCAGGUGUAGCGGUGAAAUGCGUAGAGAUCUGGAGGAAUACCGGUGGCGAAGGCGGCCCCCUGGACAAAGACUGACGCUCAGGUGCGAAAGCGUGGGGAGCAAACAGGAUUAGAUACCCGAGUAGUCCCUGUCUCUUAUAC